ensembl:lncRNA
GGAACACUUCAUAUUACUUGUUUCUACACUGUGGAUAACUCUGUUCGUACUCCUUCUCCUCACUCUCUCCCAGCUCCAGUCACAGUGCUGAAUCAGAAACCGAGACUAAGCGUCAGUCAUGAUGGUCAGUUUGAUGAAUUCAGAUUUGUGUGUGAAAUAUCAGGGUCAGAGUCAGUAACUGCUGAUUUUAGCUGUAAUCUCUACACUGGAGAAAAUCCUCGGCCUUAUGUAAAGACAGGACCUCAGAAGGCAGUUUGUAGAUUUACAGCAGAGAAAAAUGAUCUGUUUAAUCGUCUGCAGUCAGUAAAGAGUCGUGAAGUGAGCUGUGAUUAUUCACUGAUCU